AUUGAACGCUGGCGGCAGGCCUAACACAUGCAAGUCGAGCGGAUGAGGGUAGCUUGCGACCUGAUUCAGCGGCGGACGGGUGCGUAAGGCCUAGGCAUCUGCCCGAUAGUGGGGGACAACGUUUCGAAAGGAACGCUAAUACCGCAUACGUCCUACGGGAGAAAGGGGGGGAUCUUCGGACCUCACGCUAUCGGAUAGUCCUAGGUCGGAGUAGCGAGUUGGUGGGGUAAUGGCUCACCAAUGCGACGAUCCGUAACUGGUCUGAGAGGAUGAUCAGUCACACUGGAACUGAGACACGGUCCAGACUCCUACGGGAGGCAGCAGUGGGGAAUAUUGGACAAUGGGCGAAAGCCUGAUCCAGCCAUGCCGCGUGUGUGAAGAAGGUCUUCGGAUUGUAAAGCACUUUAAGUCGGGAGGAAGGGCUGUAGGCUAAUACCUUGCAGUUUUGACGUUACCGACAGAAUAAGCACCGGCUAACUUCGUGCCAGCCGCCGCGGUAA
rnacentral:rRNA from 1 species